GACGAACCGUCCAAACGUUACUCGGAAUUACUGGGCUUAAAGGGUGCGUAGGCUGCGCGGAAAGUUGGGUGUGAAAUCCCUCAGCUCAACUGAGGAAUUGCAUUCAAAACUACCGUGCUCGAGGGCGCCAGAGGUAAGCGGAACUCAAGGUGGAGCGGUGAAAUGCGUUGAUAUCUUGAGGAACACCGAUGGCGAAAGCGGCUUACUGGGUCUCUUCUGACGCUGAGGCACGAAAGCUAAGGUAGCAAACGGGAUGAGAUACCCCGGUAGGCUUAGCUGUAAACGAUGAGCACUUGUUUGAAGGGUCCUCCAUAGCCUUUCAGACGUAGCGAAAGUGUUAAGUGCUCCGCCUGGGGAGUAUGGUCGCAAGGCUG
rnacentral:rRNA from 1 species